GCCAAACAGCUAGCUUAAGUAUUAUACUAACAAAACAACAUUAAUAACACAUAUAAACCUAAAAGUAAAAACUAAACCAUUUUUAAGUCCGAGUAUGGGAGACAGAAAAGAUUCACCUAAGCAAUAGAGAAAGUACCGCAAGGGAAAGCUGAAAGAGAAAUGAAAAAAUCCAUAUAAGCGAUAAGAAGCAGAGACUAAUUCUCGUACCUUUUGCAUCAUGAUUUAGCUAGAAAUAUUCAAGCAAAGAGACCUAUAGUUUGAAACCCCGAAACCAGGUGAGCUACCCCGAGACAGCCUAUUUAGGGCCAACCCGUCUCUGUGGCAAAAGAGUGGGAAGAGCUCCGGGUAGAAGUGACAGACCUAACGAACCUGGUGAUAGCUGGUUGCCUAAGAAAUGGAUAGAAGUUCAGCCUUGCACCCCUUGAAUCCAGCAAUAUAAAACUAAGAUAUGAGAGAUAUGCAAGAGUUAGUUGAAGGAGGUACAGCUCCUUUAACAAAGGAUACAACCUUAACAGGAGAAUAAAGAUCAUAAUAUUUAAAACACACUGUUUUAGUGGGCCUGAAAGCAGCCACCUAACUAGAAAGCGUUAAAGCUCAGACAGAAAAAAGUUUAUUAUUCUGAUAAAAAAUCUUAUUUCCCUAAUUAUAUUAGGCUAUUCCAUGCACCCAUGGAAGAAAUUAUGCUAGAAUGAGUAACAAGAAGACCCCGCCCUUCUCCCGAGCACAAGUGUAUACCGGACUGGACACACCACCGGUUAUUAAUGAACUCAACCCCAGAGAGCAAUGUGAACAGUAAAAUAAUCAAGAAAAACACACAAAAUACAAAUCAUUAACCCCACACUGGAGUGCUAUAUUAAAGGAAAGACUCAAAGAAAAGGAAGGAACUCGGCAAACACAAGCCUCGCCUGUUUACCAAAAACAUCGCCUCCUGCAACUAAGCCAUGUAUAGGAGGUCCAGCCUGCCCAGUGACUACGGGUUCAACGGCCGCGGUAUUUUGACCGUGCAAAGGUAGCGCAAUCACUUGUCUCUUAAAUAGAGACCUGUAUGAAUGGCUAGACGAGGGCUUAACUGUCUCCCUUUUCAGGUCAGUGAAAUUGAUCUGCCCGUGCAGAAGCGGACAUAAAAAUGCAAGACGAGAAGACCCUUUGGAGCUUUAGGUACAACAACCGACCACGUUAAACAAUUUAAUACAAAACAUAAACUAAGUGGACUAACGGGGACUUACCUUCGGUUGGGGCGACCACGGAGGAAAAUAAAGCCUCCAGGUGGACUGGGCAUUAGCCUAAAGCCAAGGGGGACACCCCUAAGCAGCAGAACAUCUGACCAAAAUGAUCCGGCCCCACGGCCGAUCAACGAACCAAGUUACCCUAGGGAUAACAGCGCAAUCCUCUCCCAGAGUCCAUAUCGACGAGAGGGUUUACGACCUCGAUGUUGGAUCAGGACAUCCUAAUGGUGCAGCCGCUAUUAAGGGUUCGUUUGUUCAACGAUUAAAGUCCUACGUGAUCUGAGUUCAGACCGGAGCAAUCCAGGUCAGUUUCUAUCUGCAACGCUACUUUUCCUAGUACGAAAGGAUCGGAAAAGAGGGGCCUAUACUUGAAGCACGCCCCACCCCUAAUUUAUGAAACCAAAUAAAUAAAGUAAAGGGAGAGCCUAAGCGAAAUACUUCAAGAUAAGAAGUU
rnacentral:rRNA from 1 species